UUCCGUAGGUGAACCUGCGGAGGGAUCAUUACAAGAAGCCGAAAGGCUACUUCAAACCAUCGCGAACUCGUCCAAGUUGCUUCGGCGGCGCGGCACCCCUUAACGGGGGCGCCGCAGCCCUGCCUCUCCGGAGGUUCGGGGCGCCCGCCGGAGGUACGAAACUCUGUAUUAUAGUGGCAUCUCUGAGUAUAAAACAAAUAAGUUAAAACUUUCAACAACGGAUCUCUUGGUUCUGGCAUCGAUGAAGAACGCAGCGAAAUGCGAUAAGUAAUGUGAAUUGCAGAAUUCAGUGAAUCAUCGAAUCUUUGAACGCACAUUGCGCCCGGUAGUACUCUACCGGGCAUGCCUGUUCGAGCGUCAUUUCAACCCUCAAGCCCUGCUUGGUGUUGGGGCCCUACGGCUGCCGUAGGCCCUGAAAGGAAGUGGCGGGCUCGCUACAACUCCGAGCGUAGUAAUUCAUUAUCUCGCUAGGGAGGUUGCGGCGUGCUCCUGCCGUUAAAGACCCAUCUUAACCAAGGUGACCUCGAUCAGGUAGAAAGCCCAGUG
rnacentral:rRNA from 1 species